rnacentral:rRNA from 1 species
CUGAACAUUGAGCCUUGAUGUGUAGGAUAGGUGGGAGGCUUUGAAGCGUGGACGCCAGUCUGCGUGGAGCCAACCUUGAAAUACCACCCUUUAAUGUUUGAUGUUCUAACGUUGCCCCAUUAUCUGGGGUGCGGACAGUGUCUGGUGGGUAGUUUGACUGGGGCGGUCUCCUCCCAAAGAGUAACGGAGGAGCACGAAGGUUGGCUAAGCAUGGUCGGACAUCAUGCGGUUAGUGCAAAGGCAUAAGCCAGCUUGACUGCGAGAGUGACGGCUCGAGCAGGUACGAAAGUAGGUCUUAGUGAUCCGGUGGUUCUGAAUGGAAGGGCCAUCGCUCAACGGAUAAAAGGUACUCCGGGGAUAACAGGCUGAUACCGCCCAAGAGUUCAUAUCGACGGCGGUGUUUGGCACCUCGAUGUCGGCUCAUCACAUCCUGGGGCUGAAGUAGGUCCCAAGGGUACGGCUGUUCGCCGUUUAAAGUGGUACGCGAGCUGGGUUUAGAACGUCGUGAGACAGUUCGGUCCCUAUCUGCCGUGGGCGUUGGAAGAUUGAAAGGGGCUGCUCCUAGUACGAGAGGACCGGAGUGGACGCACCACUGGUGUUCGGGUUGUCAUGCCAAUGGCAUUGCCCGGUAGCUAAGUGCGGAAGAGAUAACCGCUGAAAGCAUCUAAGCGGGAAACUUGCCUUGAGAUGAGUCUUCCCUGACUCUUUAAGAGUCCUAAAGGAACGUUUAAGACUAAGACGUUGAUAGGUUGGGUGUGUAAGCGUAGCGAUACGUUGAGCUAACCAAUACUAAUGAACCGUGAGGCUUAACCUG